AAGUAUGGUUUGCUCUCUCCUGGUGAAGCCACCUAGGAUUCCAAGUCACAAAUUCGGUUCUUGUGGUAUCGACACCUGUCCCUCUUUAGUUAUACUGUGCGUUUUGUUUUAUGGGCGACUUUACGUUUUAAUCUUGAAAUCCAUCACACGAUUAUCGUCUUCUUCCAAAACCAAUACCAAAUUUUAGGGUUCCUGUUCUUCUUCGAUCUCUGAAACCAUCAGUGUUCGUCGUUGUUCUCUGAGACCAACAAUGGAGAAUCGAGAUACCAACAAUGGAGUUUUCGAGAUGUUCAAUGCAACCUGUAACGCCUUUUAAGAGACGAAUCGUUAACGAAGCGACACCAAAGGAUCUCCACCUAUAAAAAGGUAGAUGGAUAGAUCUAGAUCCGGGGGCGUUGGGCCUUCCGGAAAACAACAUGGCUUGAAUCACUUCAUCUCGACGGCGGCGAAGAGUUUCCGCAACUAACAACGCUAACUCCCUAGAACGCCGGUGGUUUCACGUCGUUGAUUGAGCUUCCCCCUACCCAAGCAGUGGAGCUUCUCUAUUUAACUGAUUCUUCAUCGUUUUCUCCGGACAGUUUAGAUAUCAAUGCACCGCCACAUCACUCUUACUGGGACAUUGAUUCACACCUCUCGCUAAGGAGAAGCAGCAAAACGGAAACGGCUCCGGUGAGACUACUACUACGAGUAUUCAUAGUUCAUAGUUCUUCUUCUAUUUCUUAUAACGCAGUGACUGGUUUGUCGAUGGGAGGAAUUCACCAUUUUUAAAGGCUUUAGUGAAAGUGAAAGUGGCAGUGCUUCACAUUCAACUUACCCUCUCAAACAAUUAAUUACGAGUUCAAUACUGUUUCCAAACAGAGCAUGAUCAAUAUGCUAAAGCAAGAAACAGGGAAGGAUGAUAUAGAAGCUGGGAGUAUCCGAAUGAAUAUUCUACAUGCAUUUUGAGAAGAUGCUUUACUUUACCAAAAGUAAAGGACAUAUAAUGAAUCUGUAGGAAAGUGAAGGCCAGGGUUAUAAGAAACAAGUAACAAGCCUAUAGAGCAUUCAACGAGCGAUGGUAAUGUGGAUGCUCCAUUCAUAUGCUAAUUUUGCAGAUUAUUGAACAGCAGCUGAAGGAUACUCUCAGCAAUUACAGAGUAUCAGUGGCAAACAGAGAAUUUACAAGUGAAACAUACUGGCACAGUACAAGAGGAGUGGAUGAAGCGGCAAAGCUGUUCGACGAAGUGUCUAACUGAGACACUUAAUCUCCUGCACUGCUUUAAGUUUGUCUAGAGAGAGAGAGGUAGAGAGAGAUGUACCUUUGUUGACUAAGAGAUGUGAAAUAUGUUAAGAUUCUUAUAUAUUAGAUUUCUCUUUACGGUUUCUUCUA